GGCAACCUGGCCGAGCGGUUAAGGCGCUACGUUCAGGAGUAUCUGAAGCAUCGUAGUCUCGAAAGAGGCGUGUGUUCGAAUCACACGGUUGUCA
rnacentral:tRNA from 1 species